GACUCUCGGCAACGGAUAUCUCGGCUCUCGCAUCGAUGAAGAACGUAGCGAAAUGCGAUACCUGGUGUGAAUUGUAGAAUCUCGCGAACCAUCGAGUCUUUGAACGCAAGUUGCGCCCGAGGCCACUCGGCCGAGGGCACGCCUGCCUGGGCGUCA
rnacentral:rRNA from 2 species